rnacentral:rRNA from 1 species
UACGUAGGGGGCAAGCGUUGUCCGGAUUUAUUGGGCGUAAAGAGCGUGUAGGCGGCCAGGUAAGUCUGUUGUGGAAACUCGAGGCUCAACCUCGAGACGCCGAUGGAAACCAUCUGGCUAGAGUCCGGAAGAGGAGAGUGGAAUUCCCGGUGUAGCGGUGAAAUGCGCAGAUAUCGGGAAGAACACCCGUGGCUAAGGCGGCUCUCUAGUACGGUACUGACGCUGAGACGCGAAAGCGUGGGGAGCGAACAGG